CAGGCAAAAAAAACCCCAUUUUCCCUCCCCUAAGUGGAUAUCUGGAACACAACACUAGGGUUCUGAUUCUGAACUUUGCUCCUCAAAAUCUCUAGAAGCGUCACCUCCGCUCCACCAUCACUAGUCGAAUCAUCCUCCACUCCACCAUCACUAAUCGGAUCGAUUCCAUUCACAGUCGUUUGACCACAAUAUCAUCUAAGGGCUCUUGUUUUAUUAAUACUAAAAGGUUCCUCAAAACCUUAGGCGGGCUCAGACUCUCACUUAUCCCUCCCAAAUCACACCACUUCCUCCCCCAAACCCUAGACAGACGCCGCACACCACGCCGGACCACCUCCUCUGCGUCACCACAUCACCUCGCCGAACCAUCUCUUAGGCACGUUCGGACCACCAGGUUUGGCAUCAGAGUUUUUGAAACAGUUUCCCAAGGCUGCUUCAAAAAGUGACCAGGUACUCAUGGCAUUAACUAAAACCUUUCCGAGUGGGCUAGACGACAGGGAAAAAACUUUUCUAUCCUUCUCUAAAAAGUGUUUUGGAAAUGCUCCGUAAAACAACUUUGGUUACUGUGUAUAUUUUUGCCUUCCCUGCAAUCACUUUACAUCGAAGUUUCGGUGAUUACACGGCUACGUAUGGCUAUUUCUUUGAGGUUGUUGCGGGAAUAAGAUUCUUAAUAUCUAUAGGCUUGCAUCAGCCUUUGCAUUUAUAUGCCUCCUUGUAGUGAUAGUUUGUUUCCCAUUCCUUAUGCUUUAUUACCUCUUGUGGAAGGGCGCAAAGAUACUAGCUUUUGUGCCCAUCAACAAAAUCGAGAACAAAAUUAUGGAAGGGGAAGAAGAAAAAAAAUUUCUUGCAUUGUUGUGUGAUGAAACAGACCAAAUGCAUGUUCUCAUCACCCCUUUUAUACACGACCAAUUCUUGAGGCUGCUUGUCAAAAUGCUUAUUAUGUUGUUGAAGAGAUUUUAUCUAGAUCUCCGGAAGCAAUUCAGAGUAGGGGUGUGAAUUACUGACAUGACCCGGAAACAUGACACGAACCUAACACGAAAUUCGCGGGUUCGGGUUUAGUCUAAACGGGUUCGGGUCAGUUUCAGCUAAACAGGUCAGGUUCGGGUCAAUCUGGUCAGGUUGGCGGUUGACCCGUUUAACCCAUUUAUAUUAAAAUUAUAUUUUUACAAUAUGUUUUAUGUCAUAAAUUUAAUUAGGUGUGUAAUUUUAAGUCAUAAUUAUAACUUAAAAAGGGAAAUUGACGUAAGAUUUUAUGAUUUUAAUGUAAUCUUAUUAUAUAAAUUUGUGUUUUUUUUUAGUAGAUGUUAAUUUUAAUAUAUUAAUUUGCUGAAAAAAUAAAAAAUAAAAAAUUUCGGGUUGAACGAGUCGGGUUCGGGUCAGCCUGAGAAUAUUCGGGUCGGGGUCGGGUUCAUAUGUAUGACACAAUUUUCGGGUUCGGGUCAGUUUCAGGUUGAACCCACGAACCCAUUUAGCUGAAUAGGUCAGGUUUGGGUCAAUCUGGUUGGGUUGGCGGGUUGACCCGUUUAACCCAUUUAUAUUAAAAUUAUAUUUUUACAAUAUGUUUUAUGUCAUAAAUUUAAUUAGGUGUGUAAUUUUAUGUCAUAAUUGUAACUUAAAAAGGGAAAUUGACGUAAGAUUUUAUGAUUUUAAUGUAAUCUUAUUAUAUAAAUUUGUGUUUUUUUUAGUAGAUGUUAAUUUUAAUAUAUUAAUUUUCUGAAAAAAUAAAAAAUAAAAAAUUUCGGGUUGAACGAGUCGGGUUCGGGUCAGCCUGAGAAUAUUCGGGUCGGGUUCGGGUUCAUAUGUUUGUUUUCGGGUUCGGGUCGGGUUGAACCCACUAACCCGCGAACACGACCCGUUUAGCACCCCUAAUUCAGAGUAAAGAUUAAAGUGGGUAUGAUAUUAUUCAGUUAGCAAUAGCAAACCGCUUGGAAAAAAUCUACAACCUUAUCUAUGAUGUUGACGAGCAUAAGAAUAUGCAUAAAACGUACGAAGAUUCUUCGAAAAACAAUAUCUUGCACUUGGCCGCAAGGUUGGCACCUUUAAGUGUUCUCAAUCGGAGAACAGGUGCAUCAUUACAACUACAGCACUUGGGCGCAAGGUUGCAAGUACAGGAAGCCCAAAACUGAAGAGAAUGCCCAAACAACGUUAUCAUGGUAGAGCCAAUAUCAUCGUGUUAAGAAAUAUAAGCUUACAGAAACAAAAGAAAGAUAUAGAGUUGACAAGACUUAUCGACAUCCAAAGUAAAAAAAGUGGCUGAGGUCACUAUGCAAAGUAAGAGAGUUCAUACUGGAUAGUUCGCAUACAGGAAAAGCAUCGGAUAAUGGUGAAGGAGGCUCACAGGUCAUCCUUGGAUUUGUGAAGACGGUGUUGCUCCUGAUAGAGCACUGGAUCCAGCCGUUCUUUCUCGUUUGAAGCAGUUCUCUGCAAUGAACAAGUUAAAGAAAAUGGCUUUGCGGGUUAUAGCCGAAAGCCUGUCUGAAGAGGAGAUUGUUGGUUUGAGAGAGAUGUUCAAAGAAAAGGAUAAGGUGGAUAAAGAUAUUAUGCUCGAUAAGAUGUCACAAAUUGAAGCUAUGUUAACAAGUACAAUUCGAAGAUAGGCUACAAACACUUGGUUUUAAAUGUUUGGAUGUUUAUCAUGUUACGAUAAUUUUAGUUAUUGGAUGUUUUAGCUGGUAUUUCUAUUAGAAUGUUUUAUAUGCUUUUGAUACGGAGAUGUUUUAUAUAAUUUUGGGUUUUUGUGAGUA